rnacentral:rRNA from 1 species
AGUGAACGCUGGCGGUAGGCCUAACACAUGCAAGUCGAACGGCAGCACAGUAAGAGCUUGCUCUUACGGGUGGCGAGUGGCGGACGGGUGAGGAAUACAUCGGAAUCUACUUUUUCGUGGGGGAUAACGUAGGGAAACUUACGCUAAUACCGCAUACGACCUACGGGUGAAAGCAUGGGAUCUUCGGACCUUGCGCGAUUGAAUGAGCCGAUGUCGGAUUAGCUAGUUGGCGGGGUAAAGGCCCACCAAGGCGACGAUCCGUAGCUGGUCUGAGAGGAUGAUCAGCCACACUGGAACUGAGACACGGUCCAGACUCCUACGGGAGGUAGCAGUGGGGAAUAUUGGACAAUGGGCGAAAGCCUGAUCCAGCCAUACCGCGUGGGUGAAGAAGGCCUUCGGGUUGUAAAGCCCUUUUGUUGGGAAAGAAAAGCAGCAGGUUAAUACCCCGCUGUUCUGACGGUACCAAAAGAAUAAGCACCGGCUAACUUCGUG